UCCGAAUUGGUGUAGUGGCUAACAUUUGACGCUCUCAUGGCUGCCUUUCUUUCCCUCCUCUAAGGUCAAGGAACAGCAUCAGUGCCGUCAAGCCCGGGGUUCGAUUCCCCGAUUCGGAG